GAUGAACGCUGGCGGCGUGCCUAAUACAUGCAAGUCGAGCGAACAGACGAGGAGCUUGCUCCUCUGACGUUAGCGGCGGACGGGUGAGUAACACGUGGAUAACCCACCUAUAAGACUGGGAUAACUUCGGGAAACCGGAGCUAAUACCGGAUAUUCUAUUGAACCGCAUGGUUCAAUAGUGAAAGACGGUUUUGCUGUCACUUAUAGAUGGAUCCGCGCCGCAUUAGCUAGUUGGUAAGGUAACGGCUUACCAAGGCAACGAUGCGGAGCCGACCCGAGAGGGUGAUCAGCCACACUAGAACUGAAACCCGGUCCAGACUCCUACGGGAGGCAGCAGUAGGGAAUCUUCCGCAAUGGGCGAAAGCUUGGCGGAGCAACGCCGCGUGAGUGAUGAAGGUCUUCGGAUCGUAAAACUCUGUUAUUAGGGAAGAACAAAUGUGUAAGUAACUAUGCACGUCUUGACGGUACCUAAUCAGAAAGCCACGGCUAACUACGUG
rnacentral:rRNA from 1 species